UACGGGGGGGGCAAGGCGUUGUUCGGAAUUACUGGGCGUAAAAGGGCGCGUAGGCGGCCACCGCAAGUCGACUGUGAAAUCUCCGGGCUUAACCCGGAAAGGGUCAGCCGAUACUGCGGGGCUAGAGUGCAGAAGGGGGCAACUGGGAAUUCUCGGUGUAGCGGUGAAAAUGCGUAGAUAUCAGAGGAACACCUGCGGCGAAGGCGGGGUUGCUGGGCUGACACUGACGCUGAGGCGCGAAAAGCUAGGGGGGAGCGAAACGGG
rnacentral:rRNA from 1 species